rnacentral:rRNA from 1 species
CGGCGCUCGAGCGCGUCGUGGUAUUUCGCGUAUUGUAAUUUCAACACGAGCGGGGUCAAAUCCUUUGCAGACGACUUAGCUGUGCGAAACGGUCCUGUAAGCAGUAGAGUAGCCUUGUUGUUACGAUCUGCUGAGGGUAAGCCGUCCUUCGCCUCGAUUU